AACGAACGCUGGCGGCGCGUCUUAAACAUGCAAGUCGAACGAUCUGUAGCAAUACAGGGAGUGGCGGACGGGUGAGGAACACGUAGGAAUCUACCUGGAAGAGCGGGACAACUUUGGGAAACCGGGGCUAAUACCGCAUAGUGUCGAGAGACUAAAGGGCUAGCAAUAGUCGCUUCCAGAUGAGCCUGCGGUCUAUCAGCUUGUUGGUGAGGUAAUGGCUCACCAAGGCUACGACGGAUAGCCGGUCUGAGAGGAUGAUCGGCCACACUGGCACUGAGACACGGUCCAGACUCCUACGGGAGGCAGCAGUGGGGAAUUUUGGACAAUGGGCGAAAGCCUGAUCCAGCAAUGCCGCGUGCAGGAUGAAGGCCUUCGGGUUGUAAACUGCUUUUGUACGGAACGAAACGGUGAGCUCUAAUACAGUUUGCUAAUGACGGUACCGUAAGAAUAAGCACCGGCUAACUACGUGCCAGCCGCCGCAGUAAGAC
rnacentral:rRNA from 1 species